rnacentral:rRNA from 1 species
UGAGGAAUAUUGGGCAAUGCCCGCAAGGGUGACCCAGCAACGCCGCGUGGAGGAUGAAUGUCGUAAGAUUGUAAACUCCUGUUAGAGGGGAAGAAUAGUACCGGUUGGACCGGUAUAUGACUGUAUCCUCAGAGAAAGCCCCGGCUAACUACGUGCCAGCAGCCGCGGUAAUACGUAGGGGGCAAGCGUUGUCCGGAUUUACUGGGUGUAAAGGGCGCGCAGGCGGGAUAAAAAGUCAGUGGUGAAAUCCUACAGCUUAACUGUAGAACUGCCUUUGAUACUUUUAUUCUUGAGUUCGGGAGAGAGAGACGGAAUUCCAGGUGUAGUGGUGAAAUACGUAGAUAUCUGGAAGAACACCAGUUGCGAAGGCGGUCUCUUGGUCCGACACUGACGCUGAGGCGCGAAAGCGUGGGGAGCAAACA